CGCCGCUGGGCUGAGCCCCGGCAGUGGCUGCGGCGGCGGCGGCGGCGGCGGGCGGCAGCGGAGGCAGCUGCCGCCUCUGUCCUCGGAUCCGCUCCGCUCUGCUCCCUGGUGUGUUGAUUCUUCCCCCAGCUGCUGCCUAAUGGAGUCCAGGCGCUCGCGUCACAGGAAAUGCCUAUACUGCCCUCCUCACUCACUUCCGGUGGCAGGCCACGUCAUGCUGAACAAGAGCCGAGAAGUAGAAUCGCCAGUGUCAAGCCGUCCACGUUGUGGGAUGCCCACUGUUCCCCCAGGAUCACUCAAGACCCUGUGACUUGUGGUCACUGAUGAGUGGACCAAGUGAAGUGAUCCUCAUGGAACACCUUUCCUGAAGAGAUGAUGAUGGGGCCAUUUGACAUGGGACACAGCAGGUGCUGGAAGAAGCACAUAUUUUUAGUGACAAAGACUGUGACUAUCCUGCCUCCUGGUUAUAAAGCAAAGCCAAACUGGAGAGAAGACCAGUGCCAGAGCCUUUAUUACUAAAAGGCACAUGCAAAGUGCUGUAAGAUUUCACAGGAUGGAGAGAACAUCUGUGGCAGUGGACAGAGUCGUGAGUGACCACAGAAGGCUUUCUGGAGGCAGGACUUGAGGGCCUUUGCCUCAGACAUGCAUACGGCAGGAGUGUGAGAUCUAUGGAGUAGGCUCACGUCAUGGAGCAAGGAGGAUGGCAGGGGCUCCAAUGAUGAUGUCUGCGUAAGAAUUCCCAUUUAAGAUCUUUCCAAGCACAAGAGUCAUGGCCCAAUGGCAGAGUGUCCUAUGCCCACGAAUAAAUCAAGGACGAAGAAGACGUUUUUGGAACCAGCAUAGUUUCUGGUAGGAUCUUUGCCACUACUUAAAAAAAAAAAAA
rnacentral:sRNA from 1 species